GUUUCCAAUCCUUUAAAAUGGCUAAAUUAGCCGAAUUUGAUUAAUUUCCUUCUUUUUCCUUUAGCAAACCCUAAAUUCCCCCCUAACCGCCGAUUCCUCUCUAUGAUAAGGUGCCUUUGAGGAAUAAUCUCUCAGCUUUGACCUUCCUUCAACUUCGAUUCCAACGAAGCAAAGAGAAGAUCCAUGGCGUAUUCGCACGGUACAGCUGUGCAUGGAGAAACUGCUCGUGGGCGAUAGUGCGAAGGCUUCCAGAAGCUUCAAUGUUUGGGCCCUAUGAGCCUGCUUUGAAAUCGGCUGGCUGGAGGCUGUUGUGAAGGCCACUGGUGGUUGCUUACGGCGCGAGGGGACGUUCGUGGGAGCUGCGGCGCUGUUUAGCUCGGAUUUCAGUUUCUCGAACAGAAAUUUUGGGCCAUUUGGGCUAGUUCUGGGAUUGGGCCUAUUAGGGACUUAAUUUAUUCGGGUAUUGGGUUGUUGAUUUGGGUUAGGGGUUUAUUUAGUAAUUGGGCUGGGUUUAUUUGUAAAAAUGUUACAAUUUGUAUGAGGAUUGUUUUUGGACUUUAAUUUUGGUGUUUUUUAUUUUGAUUCUUUUUUUUUUUUUGGUUUUUGUGUAAGCCCGGGCGAAAUGGGCCUAUUACAAAACAUAUGAAAAAUGAUUAACCACUGUCA